AAGACUAUAGACCUGCGGAGUACCUGCGGAAGGAUCAUUAUAGAGUGGUAAACCCUCUGUAAAAGGGGGGGACCUCCUGUCCUUUGUAGGCUCUUUUUUAAAGGGCUUUUUUUAAUUUUCUGCUUCGGUGGGGUUAUCCCACCGGAACAACCUCAAAACUCUGAUCAAAAAAUCGUUCUGUCUGAGAACUUUUUAUAAUAAAAAAAACUUUCAGCAAUGGAUCUCUAGAUCGGAAGAGCA
rnacentral:misc_RNA from 1 species